ensembl:lncRNA
GCUCUUUCUAUUGACUGUUCUCUGUUUUUUUAUUAUUAUUUUUUUUAGACCACAUAUUUUUCUCAAACAAAAUGUUAAAAACUAAACACUGAGGCAAGCAACAAAAAGGGAAGAUUUAAUUCUACUACUAGUGUAAUUUACAGAACCAAAAAGUCUUAUGAUACUCUUUAGGAAAUCGGCACGUUCUAAUAAAACAGAAGAACUGAUAGCAGUGUAUUUUGUGUUUCAGAUAUGGGGCAACUAUAUAACAACGACUUCCACUUUUCGAGACAUACUCCUCAACUUCAUUGGUCUUUGGGUCAAAACAUCGCAGUCUGUUUUAUCAAGAUGGAGAAUGAGUUACAUAAACAUGAAGUCCCUCGGAGAUGUUCCUCUGUGUUGCACGUGAAGGAGGGAUGCGCACAGCUAGUCAUCUGUGACGGAGUUGGGUUAAUUGUUAGCUGUUCAGAUGCCAACUAGAAUGUGUGUGUGUGUGUGUGUGUGUGUGUGUGUGAUAUCUGCUGUAAUCACUUGGAGAUUCAAAUCUGAAGUGGAGCCCAUCUAAAGGUAAGGAAUCGUGUAGAGUGCACUGUUGAAAUAUUCAUAUCAUUUUAUAUCUAAAAGUGUUUGCCACAGGUUUGCAUGUCCUUGGAUGUUCCUCAGUGAAUUAAUAUUAUGAAAACUGAAUAGAAGUACAAGAAUAAUGGUGCUUUCUGGACAAAGUAGAUCAAUACUGUGGUGUCUUUCAGCCGUGAAAUUCUCACUUUGCUUAAUAUCUAUUAUAAACCUCAAGCAGAUUUAUUUUAAGGUUAUUUCAUGGUUAACAAUCUGAAGAUUGACAAUGAGAGCAGUGAUGCUGUCUUUCUCAAUCUCAGAUAAAGCCAAAUAACAGCUAUAUAAAGGGAAAUUAGUGUGAAAAAUCUGAGUGAAAAUUCUCUGAACCUCACUUGUCAGUCUCUCUGUCUGGUAUUAUAUAGUUAUGGUAGUGUAUAGGCAGUAGUGAGUGAAAAUCACUGUUUCUGAGUGUAAUGUGUUAACAAUAUCGGAAAAACUGAAACUUACUCAUCUUGUCAAUAGUAGUUUGUGAUGGGUUUUUUUUAUUGGUGUGUAUCAUUUAGUGUUUAUAUCAUUUGCAGUACAGUAUGUGGAGAUGAGGAAUUGUUGAAACACUGGGGUAGUUACAUAGUAACAGCAAGUUAGAGCUGUGCUGUAAUUAUAAUGUUUUAUUUGUAUUUGUAAACAAUAAAAGAAACAACACUACUCCA